ACGGGGGGGGGGGUGCUAUACAUGCAAGUCGAACGAACUCUGGUAUUGAUUGGUGCUUGCAUCAUGAUUUACAUUUGAGUGAGUGGCGAACUGGUGAGUAACACGUGGGAAACCUGCCCAGAAGCGGGGGAUAACACCUGGAAACAGAUGCUAAUACCGCAUAACAACUUGGACCGCAUGGUCCGAGUUUGAAAGAUGGCUUCGGCUAUCACUUUUGGAUGGUCCCGCGGCGUAUUAGCUAGAUGGUGGGGUAACGGCUCACCAUGGCAAUGAUACGUAGCCGACCUGAGAGGGUAAUCGGCCACAUUGGGACUGAGACACGGCCCAAACUCCUACGGGAGGCAGCAGUAGGGAAUCUUCCACAAUGGACGAAAGUCUGAUGGAGCAACGCCGCGUGAGUGAAGAAGGGUUUCGGCUCGUAAAACUCUGUUGUUAAAGAAGAACAUAUCUGAGAGUAACUGUUCAGGUAUUGACGGUAUUUAACCAGAAAGCCACGGCUAACUACGUGCCAGCAGCCGCGGUAAUACGUAGGUGGCAAGCGUUGUCCGGAUUUAUUGGGCGUAAAGCGAGCGCAGGCGGUUUUUUAAGUCUGAUGUGAAAGCCUUCGGCUCAACCGAAGAAGUGCAUCGGAAACUGGGAAACUUGAGUGCAGAAGAGGACAGUGGAACUCCAUGUGUAGCGGUGAAAUGCGUAGAUAUAUGGAAGAACACCAGUGGCGAAGGCGGCUGUCUGGUCUGUAACUGACGCUGAGGCUCGAAAGUAUGGGUAGCAAACAGGAUUAGAUACCCUGGUAGUCCAUACCGUAAACGAUGAAUGCUAAGUGUUGGAGGGUUUCCGCCCUUCAGUGCUGCAGCUAACGCAUUAAGCAUUCCGCCUGGGGAGUACGGCCGCAAGGCUGAAACUCAAAGGAAUUGACGGGGGCCCGCACAAGCGGUGGAGCAUGUGGUUUAAUUCGAAGCUACGCGAAGAACCUUACCAGGUCUUGACAUACUAUGCAAAUCUAAGAGAUUAGACGUUCCCUUCGGGGACAUGGAUACAGGUGGUGCAUGGUUGUCGUCAGCUCGUGUCGUGAGAUGUUGGGUUAAGUCCCGCAACGAGCGCAACCCUUAUUAUCAGUUGCCAGCAUUAAGUUGGGCACUCUGGUGAGACUGCCGGUGACAAACCGGAGGAAGGUGGGGAUGACGUCAAAUCAUCAUGCCCCUUAUGACCUGGGCUACACACGUGCUACAAUGGAUGGUACAACGAGUUGCGAACUCGCGAGAGUAAGCUAAUCUCUUAAAGCCAUUCUCAGUUCGGAUUGUAGGCUGCAACUCGCCUACAUGAAGUCGGAAUCGCUAGUAAUCGCGGAUCAGCAUGCCGCGGUGAAUACGUUCCCGGGCCUUGUACACACCGCCCGUCACACCAUGAGAGUUUGUAACACCCAAAGUCGGUGGGGUAACCUUUUAGGAACCAGCCGCCUAAGGGGAACCAAGA
rnacentral:rRNA from 1 species